UGCACGCACCUGCUAGGUGCUUGGUGCAAGGUGAUUGGUUACACCACAGAGAGACAUUGGGGUAGGGCUGGUAGGUGUACAUGUAAACCAAAACCUUUACAAACUCAGACUCUUCACAUUAAGAGCUUGUUCAGGUAACAUCACCACCACUCCGGAGUCCCUCAACAAUGGACAUCACCUCUACCUCUGGUGUCUGCCUUUCUGCCUUCCUUUGACAUCUACUGAUUAACUGAUCUCCUGAAUCUCGGAGGCCUCUCUGCCUUUUGAAUCUGACCCAGGCAUGCAAGAAAUCAUUCGUCCUUCAGCAAGAGGAGGAAAGAGGGAAGAGGAAGAAAAGCCUCUCUAGCAACAAGACCCGGGCCUCUAGUGCUGUUCUGUCUACUGAAAUGCUGCCUGGCUGAAGACUAGGAGGGAGCAGGGCAUGUCUGUGGGUUUUGCCUUUCAUGGGGUCUUGAAUGACCAGAGAGAGACUGGAUGUGGCUCUCUCUCGGGCUCCAGGGGGAAAUUUGAGAUAUUUCCCCUCUCUUUUCUCCCUCUACAACUCCUCACUUUUUUCUUUUUACAUUCUUCCUUUACUGCUCUAUUCACAAUGGUAAGAUUACAGGUGUUGCUGUUUGAUUUCCUUCUCAGUCCCCUCCCUUUUUACCCUCCUACAUACUCCCCCUCCCUCUUUUGUCCCACAUUUUUACCUUCGCCCACCGCCAUACAACUUUCCCGCUCUCGAAACCCACUAAUCCCAUGACAUUUGCAUCAAGUAAUGUUUGAUUUGCUUGUUUCAGAGAAAACCCUUUUCUUUAAGUUUGUUCUGACAACAAUGGAGGCUAUAUAUUUUGAACAUGAAGAAAGAAUUCAAACAGGAUUUUACUUGUAGACUACAAUGAAUGAAAUCAAAUCUCUACUACUGAAAGUAAUGUGGAUACUUUACAUAAAAGGGCUAAUGUAAUCAGACAAUAUGUAUUUGGUGAAAUAACACAAGACCAAUUUUGAAAUGCUACAAUGGUGCAGGAACAGUGUGAAUUGUGCACAGUGCAUACAGUUUGUACGUAGGAUGUUAUGUAACGUAUAAUGUUUGCCGAGAAGUGUCAUUGAGGGCAUUCAAUGUUGGUGGCAGUUUGCCAAUGUGGCAAUGAUAAGGUGAUCUUGAGGCAUAUUAGUCGAGACAUGGGAGUAAUCAUCUUCUGAAAUUCCUGCCAUUGUGGUACUCUAGAAUACUACAUUACCUGCGUAAUACAGUAGCGUUUUGUUACAGCUGCGGCCUGACUUUGCGAGGGCCCAGUGGCCUACCAUACUUUGUUUUAGCUAACAGCGCAGGUGCAUAACUUCAAGGAAUCUUUGUAAAACCACAGCCUCUUAAAUGAUAGUUUAUGUUCUUGGAUCAUAAAAAAGCCCAGUUGUGAUGUGUUUGGAUAAUUAUUAACAAUGACUUAGCCUACUGAUGUGGUUGCAAAAUUAUAGAAUAAAAACAUCAAAGAAAUCCGACAGGGUUUGAUAAACACAGCAGUGCUUUUCUGGAUCCACCUGUAUGGUAGCUUCCUCUAUUUACACUGUCUACAUCUGUGCUGCUCUUGUAAAUGAAAUAUUGAUAUUUGGAUGGCCAUCUCCAUCUUACGAGGUAGUUUUGGAUGUUAUAACUCCCUCUAAUACUGCCUGGUAAUGAUGAUGAUGACCCUCUGCAGGCAUCAUAGACAAAAACACAUAACACAGAAACACAAUCCCACGUAGCACUGUAUUUUCUUAGCCCUUGAUCCUGGGUAGUAAUAUCUUAUGAGUUGCUGAUACGUUUGAAUAGUAUUCUAAGGGUUGUGUAGAAGUAGAUAUGCUCUGAGGUUGGAUAUAGUUAGUUAUGUGCUUUUGGUGACCUUCCCUUUCUUUGGCUUCCAAAGCACGUCUUACCUGACAGUGCUGGGCUGUACACAGGUGUUCUAACACUGUCUGGUAAUGAUGUCCCCUGAAAGCCCCUCAAACAACCACACCAUCUCAACAACCAAUAUAGGUGUAAUGGCACUGUCGCAUACCUGAAGCAGGACGUGUUCACAGUUAAAUCGUUUUUUACUGUUUGGAAAUUGUUUUCAGUCAACUCUAUGUUUUAGAGAGAGACCCUCUAUGUCUGUUGGCAUUGCCAUUGCUCAGGUGUAGACUCUAAGUCACGUGAACUCCAGUUCAAAGUUCAGAACAUGGAAAGAUGGAGACUGUAGUAGGGUAGUCUUUUUUAAAGGACUACAUAUGUGAAUAAGACAAUGAUGGAACAACUGGCUGAAGGAAGCAUCCAGAACAGGUGACACCAGACUUUAAAGGCUGACAGAGAUAGUCCCAUAAGAAAAGAGGAUGAGGUAAAAGUCCUAAACGUCGUCUGUGGUGAGCACCUUCCGCCUAACCCCCCAUUUGUGAAAAGUAGUUCCUCCCUGCCUCCUGCCCUUUGUGUAGAUUUUCCACCCCACCCAGUAGUUAAAGAAUACCAGUGAAAUGACUGUUGCAGUAAGAGCCACUUCCUCUUCCCCUCCCCCAGUCAGAGCUGAAUCUGGGCCUUUGUUGGCUCGUGAUUGGUCCAGCGGCCCUACUGUACCUGCGUGGCAUAUUGUGCAGCUGACACCUGAGAUCUGUGUGAGAAAAAUAAACACAACUACCUCUAUGGCUCUCCUGCUCUCACUUUCUCUUUAUUUCUCUCUCUCUCCUCUUCUCCAGUGAAAUCUGGUGGCAUUAGCUGAAUCUGAUUAUUGCAUUUAAACUAAAAUGAGAGGUUGAUUCACUAUUGUUGAAGUUGUUGUUUUUUUCAUUACUCUCAACCAGUUAUAACUCUCAACCUAUUGCCCUAUUCAACACCAUUAUGAUUGUUAAGGUAAAACAAAGGUAUACAAAGAAACAGAGUUCUCAAACUGUGUGUUCUGUAACAAGAGGUUGGCUGUACAAAUGAGUGGAAAGUGGACACAAAAGCAUUAAGUGAUGGAGGUGUUUGUCAAGGGUUGUUCUUCUGAGUUCUGGUUUACCAACACUCAAUAAUUUAAUCACAGCUUUGUGUACUCAUUCUGAACUCUGAAAUUGUAAUGUCAUCAUUUUUUUGCAUGUCCCAUUAAAGAUCAAAUAAUUUAAAGAUUGUGUAAUAUUGCCUUAUGACAAAGAAUCUGCUCCAGUUAUAAAUGUCUUACUAUAAUUGUAUAUUAUUACCUCCAAUACAUUUUUAAAAACUUUUCACCACUGGUGUGUUGCUAUGAACUAUUCCAAUUCUCCAACUUAUUUCUGUCUUCUUUCUUCACAGCUUGUCUGUCAACAAGCUGCUGUAGCUACAAAGACCCUGGCUACUUUUCUCUGAUGCUCCUACCUAGACCUUAUAAUUGUUGUCUUACCAGACAAGUUUAGAUCUAGUUACUCUGUCUAAUACUGUCUGGUAAUGCCGUCCAUUACAAGGUAUCUCAUCGCUCUUCUUCUGUCAGUUUCUUGGACAAUCUGUACAAAUCAACUGGUAUCCGGUCAUGUGAUGUCUUUUUCCCUCAAUGGCUUUUUCCAUAACUGGCAUGUAAGGUUUAAUUGCAGGUCAAAUAAAAAUAGUGUUGAAUUAUGUUAUUGUAUGCAAUAUCUCUAGUCAAAAACAUCCUAUAGGAUCCCCCCAAAAAAUAUCCAAUUAGAAUCCCAAAGAAAAUUCAAUAAGAUUUUGGAAGCUAUCCUAUAGGAUAGGAUUUUAUCCCAUGGGAUAGUACCGUGUACCUAGGACAGAAUCCUUCAGGAGUCCAAUAGGACUGGUUCCAAAAUCUGAUAGGAUUUUCUUUUGGCUUCUAUUAUUGAGUAGGGUAACUUGUUAUUUUAUAUUUGGUUUUUUUCCAGGACAGAUGUAAGAUUGAUUUGGAGACAGAUAUAGAGAAGGGUGAAGUGGUUAAGGGCACAGACAGUCGGCCGAGCCAGGGCUCGAAUCCCCGUCUAGGAGGAGGCAUGUGUGGUCCGGAUUUGGGAGCUUAGACCGCUACACCAGACUCCAGCACACCGAUAAGAUUUUUAUAUUAGAUUAUUGUAUAUAAAAUCCUAUUCAAUAGAGCCCAAAAGGACUGGUUCCAAAAUCUGACAGGAUUUUCAUAUUGGCCUCUAAUUAGAUCCUUGUAUUGGAAUCCUAUCGGAUGAAACACUAUACGCUAUAGUUAACUUGGCUGCUUAACACAUGGAGCACCUGUGAACAGUGGACACGUCAACUAUAAUAGCAUCAUAAGCAACCAAUAUUGAACUGCCUCCUUUUCCACUUGAGAUGCCGACCCUAUAGUGGGGAACCGCCGGCAAUGUCGAGAUAGGGAAAAUGGGGAGGGAGCACCUUCUAAGGAUGGAGGGAGGGUAGGGGUGACAGCUCUGGGGGGGAAGGAGGCAGGGGAGGAGUUACAAUCCUGG
ensembl:lncRNA